rnacentral:rRNA from 1 species
GAUGAACGCUGGCGGCGUGCCUAAUACAUGCAAGUCGAGCGAACAGACGAGGAGCUUGCGCCCCUGACGUUAGCGGCGGACGGGUGAGUAACACGUGGAUAAACUACCUAUAAGACUGGGAUAAUUACGGGAAACCGGAGCUAAUACCGGAUAAUAUAUUGCACCUGAUUGUUCAAUAGUGAGAGUAGGUUUUUGUGACAGUUAUAGCUGAAUACGGGCCGGAUUAGCAGGUUGGUAAGGUAACGGCUUAGCAAGGCUACGAUGCGUAGCCGGCCUGAGAGGGUGAUCGGCUACACUGGAACUGAGACACGUUCCAGACUCCUACGGGAGGAAGCAGUGGGGAAUCUUACGCAAUGGGCGAGAGCGUGACGGAGCAACGCCGGGUGAGUGAUGAAGGUCUUCGGAUGGUAAAACUAUGUUAUUAGGAAAGAACAAAUGUGUAAGUACCUAGGAUCGUCUUGACGGUACCUAAUGAGAAAGCCCCGGCUAACUACGUG